rnacentral:siRNA from 1 species
CUGAGGGUCGGCAAUCGGGCG